rnacentral:lncRNA from 1 species
GAGCCACUGCUGCAUGAGUCUGGAGGAAGUUUCAAGGUUUAUGCCUCUAAAGGAGAGUAUUCUGUCUUUGAUCUGCCGGUCCAUGAGGCGUAUGAUCGAAUCCGACGAACGGUAGGCCUGUUUGUGGAUUCUUGCAUUCCGUUCUGACCAAGCCCAGUAAAUACAUCCUUGCCAGUACAGUCUAAGUAAAAUUUCCUUUGUUGAUCGCCUACUCACUGAUUGUAGCUGUAACAUGACACAGUCCCAUGAUCUCUCAGGUUGGAUCCCACAACGAUGCGCCAAUGUUUC